AUUGAACGCUGGCGGCAGGCCUAACACAUGCAAGUCGAGCGAGCGGCGGACGGGUUAGUAAUGUCUGGGGAUCUGCCCGAUAGAGGGGGAUCACUACUGGACCCGGUAGCUAAUACCGACCACUAUCGGUCGAACCCAUUUGGGAUUGGCUAGUAGGUGGGGUAAAGGCUAACCUAGGCGACGAUCUCUAGCUGGUCUGAGAGGAAGAUCAGCCACACUGGGACUGUGACACGGCCCAGACUCCUACGGGAGGCAGCAGUGGGGAAUAUUGCACAAUGGGCGCAAGCCUGAUGCGGCCAUGCCGCGUGUAUGAAGAAGGCCUUGGGGUUGUAAAGUUCUUUCGGUAGCGAGGCGUUAACUACAGAUGAAGCACCGGCUAACUCCGUGCCAGCCGCCGCGGUAAUUC
rnacentral:rRNA from 1 species